GGCCCGGCGAGCGAGCAGGGACGGAGCAGGGAGUUAACACAGGCGGAUGCCUCCGGUGUCAGCCCUCGAGAGCAGAGGGAAGAGGAGGGCCAGGCGUCGGUCCGCUCCAGUGCUGGCUGAAGAAGUCUGCAAGGAGGGGGCGAGCAAGGAGAAGCCGGAGUCAGAGACACCUCCGCCGGCCCUCGCUGCGAGCGCCCGAACGACCGCGCGAUGACGGCCGGGAGCCCCGGAGACCGCGGCGCGCGCAGGAGCCCCGAGGGCCGCGUCUCACGCCUGGGCCGCCGCCUGGGCCGGCGCCGGCGGCCG
rnacentral:lncRNA from 1 species